GAGUCGAGACCUCAACAAAAGGAAGAAGUCACCCCACUGAUGACCAGGGUUGGUUCGGCUGAUCUGGCUGGGCCGGUGUUCCCCGCCUCCCGCACCCAUCCAUGUGCGUCCCUCCCGAAGCUGCAUUCUCUCGGUAGAAGAGGUCCACCUUCCCCCCAGAGGAGAGGACCGGUCUCCGGUCAAGGGCAUAGGGGUAGCUGCACGCCUGGCUAGAACCUCCAAACAAGCUCUAUAAGGAAGAAGCAGGGUGGGAGUCGGGGACAGGUUGAGGGUCCCUGUGCCC
rnacentral:snRNA from 1 species